rnacentral:rRNA from 1 species
AUGAACGCUGGCGGCGUGCUUAACCCCUGCAAGUCGCACGGAAAGGCUCCUGCUUGCAGGGGUACUCGAGUGGCGAACGGGUGAGUAACACGUGGGUGAUCUGCCCUGCACUUCGGGAUAAGCCUGGGAAACUGGGUCUAAUACCGGAUAGGACGAUGGUUUGGAUGCCAUUGUGGAAAGUUUUUCGGUGUGGGAUGAGCUCGCGGCCUAUCAGCUUGUUGGUGGGGUAAUGGCCUACCAAGGCGUCGACGGGUAGCCGGCCUGAGAGGGUGUACGGCCACAUUGGGACUGAGAUACGGCCCAGACUCCUACGGGAGGCAGCAGUGGGGAAUAUUGCACAAUGGGCGCAAGCCUGAUGCAGCGACGCCGCGUGGGGGAGGACGGCCUUCGGGUUGUAAACUCCUUUCGCUAGGGACGAAGCGUUUUGUGACGGUACCUGGAGAAGAAGCACCGGCUAACUACGUG